UGUGGUUUAAUUUGAUGCAACGCGAAGAACCUUACCUACUCUUGACAUCCAGAGAACUUAGCAGAGAUGUUUUGGUGCCUUCGGGAACUCUGAGACAGGUGCUGCAUGGCUGUUGUCAGCUCGUGUUGUGAAAUGUUGGGUUAAGUCCCGCAACGAGCGCAACCCUUAUCCUUUGUUGCCAGCGGUUCGGCCGGGAACUCAAAGGAGACUGCCAGUGAUAAACUGGAGGAAGGUGGGGAUGACGUCAAGUCAUCAUGGCCCUUACGAGUA
rnacentral:rRNA from 1 species